ensembl:lncRNA
CGCAGCAGCAGGGGCUGUGCAGACAGGCAGAGCAUCCUGGGAGCCGGACAGGCCUGCGGUCGAGGUGCCACUCACACCCGGCACGCCCGCCCAGCCCCCAGGCAGCUCUGCCAGCAGUGAGCUGCGCCCGCUCCCAUGCAGACCCGGGGCCUGGGACAGCCUCCUGGAGAGGGGACACAGAUGCCUGCAGGCCCGACGCCAGGCUGGGGCCUGAGCCGGGGUCCCCUCACCCCCAGCAGGGGAGGAAACCGAGGAAUCCAGGUCGGCACGCAGGCCGGUGCAGCAGAGGCCGUUCGGUGGACAGGCCGGCCAGCCCUCCUGUGUCCCCCGGCCCUCUCGAGCCACGGACACACAGCCCGAGGGAGCUGGACACACAGCCCGAGGGAGCUGGACACACCGCUGGGUUCCUGCCCACAGCACACUGCUCGCCAGGCUCACUCCGUUUUAACCCUGAACAGUGUGGACAGAACAGCCUAUGGACAAGCCUUUCCCCUCCCCCACCACCUCCUACUUUUUAAAUUUGGGGAGUCCAAGGGCAGCUAGACUGAACAGCCAGGAGGGGAGCACCCCGAGCAGUGGCAGAAGCGCUGUCCUGCGGCGCACUGAGCCUCCCGGCCAGCAGCAGAGCCCACCGUGCCGCGCAGAGAACUGACCCGACGCUACACAGGCUCUCACGCGACGCAGUGCAACUGGAAACCUCAAACAGGGAAAUCUGGCAAACUCCAGCACACGUGGAAAUUGAACACCCAUCACAUAGGAGGACCGGCUCUGAGACUCGCUCAGCAAACCCCGGCAGUGAGUGGGUCGUCCAUGGGCUGAGCUCCAGGGCUCGGGGUGGGGUGGGGACAGAGCUGGCUCGGCGUGCGGCCUGGGGGCUCCUGGACUCAUCUGCAGAUCUGGGGUGUUCCCCGCAAUUUUCUAUGGUUCCCAUGGGGACGUGGCCUCCAGACUGGGAGCCUGCCCUGACACACGCGCGUGACCCUCUUGCCCCCCAGAGCAGCUCCUCAUGGCUCUGAGGCUGCAGUGGGGACCCCACCAGACACACUCCUCCCUUGCUCAUUUAGAACAUGCUGGAAAUGCCUUCAUGGUCAGCUGUGUCCCUCCUCUGAGCCUCGGCUCCUCCCACACGCCCUACCUCCCAUCCUAAUCACCAAGUCCCCUGUCCCUGCCCCAACUCGCCCUUGCUCUUCUCAACUCCACAUCUUUGCACAGGCUGUUCCUUAUGCUGAAAAGCCCUUCCCAUGUGUCCACGGGGCAAACUCUAAUCUACCAUUCAAGGCCUAGCUCAAGGGCCCCCUUCUCCGAGAAGCCUGCCCGGACUCCCCAGCAGAAGCCCCGUGCCCCCGCGCGGCCUGACCCCACUUGGGUGGCAGUGCGGGGAUGGGUGUCUGGAGUCCCUAUCACGUGGGCCCCAAGCAGCCGGCAGUGAGGGGGCUGCCUGAGAAGAGGGCAGCACUGUGAACUGGCGCAGCAGCUCUGCUCCCCAGCACAAGGCCAGACCCCAAAUCCAGGGCCUCCUGGGGAGGCAGGGUUUCUGAUCGACUCCAGGAGAGGCCAUGAUGAUGCAGGGUAGUGCGCAGUGUGCAGUGUAGACAGGACGUGGAGUCCAUAGGUCCAGGUGGACCCCGUGAUGCAGGGUAGUGCGCAGUGUGCAGUGUAGACAGGACAUGGAGUCCGGCGGCCAAGGUCAACCCCGGCUCUGGCGCUCACCUCCUGGCUGUGGCCCCAGGCAACCGCCUGGUCCCCUCUGAGCCAGACCUUCCCCCUGGGCUGAUCAGAAAAGUAAAUCAG